AUUAGAUCCGUCCAUGUAAAAAUUUGUCUCAAAGCAGUUCUGAUGUUUUCCAUCUUUCCUUUAGGUUUGUAUGUAAAAGGCUCCAGUCCACAGUCUUUGAGGCUUAUUUUACUCAGCAGUUCACAUGCAUGGCUUCCCUUAAGAGAAAGAUUUGUUUGUAACUGAUGGGACACACUUGUGAA